GAUGAACGCUGGCGGCGUGCUUAACACAUGCAAGUCGAACGAUGAUGCACCGCUUGCGGUGUGGAUUAGUGGCGAACGGGUGAGUAACACGUGAGUAACCUGCCCUUGACUCUGGGAUAAGCCUGGGAAACUGGGUCUAAUACCGGAUAUGACCUUUCACCGCAUGGUGGGGGGUGGAAAGCUUUUGUGGUUUUGGAUGGACUCGCGGCCUAUCAGCUUGUUGGUGGGGUAAUGGCCUACCAAGGCGAUGACGGGUAGCCGGCCUGAGAGGGUGACCGGCCAAACUGGGACUGAGACACGGCCCAGACUCCUACGGGAGGCAGCAGUGGGGAAUAUUGCACAAUGGGCGGAAGCCUGAUGCAGCGACGCCGCGUGAGGGAUGACGGCCUUCGGGUUGUAAACCUCUUUCAGUAGGGAAGAAGCGAAAGUGACGGUACCUGCAGAAGAAGCGCCGGCUAACUACGUGCCAGCCGCCGCGGUAAUAC
rnacentral:rRNA from 1 species